UACAGAGGUCCCAAGCGUUGUUCGGAUUCACUGGGCGUAAAGGGUGCGUAGGUGGUCAGGUAAGUCGGAUGUGAAAUCUCCGAGCUCAACUCGGAAACUGCAUUGGAAACUACCUGGCUCGAGGGUUGGAAGGGGGACUGGAAUGCUUGGUGUAGCAGUGAAAUGCGUAGAUAUCAAGCGGAACACCAGUGGCGAAGGCGAGUCCCUGGACAACUCCUGACACUGAUGCACGAAAGCUAGGGGAGCAAACAGG
rnacentral:rRNA from 1 species